GUAGGGAAUAUUGGGCAAUGGUCGGAAGACUGACCCAGCCAUGCCGCGUGCAGGAAGACGGCCCUCUGGGUUGUAAACUGCUUUUAUCUGGGAAGAAAAAGGCCAUGCGUGGCAAAUUGCCGGUACCAGAUGAAUAAGCACCGGCUAACUCCGUGCCAGCAGCCGCGGUAAUACGGAGGGUGCAAGCGUUGUCCGGAUUUAUUGGGUUUAAAGGGUGCGUAGGCGGCUGAGUAAGUCAGCGGUGAAAGACUCCGGCUUAACCGGAGCAGUUCCGUUGAUACUGGUUAGCUUGAGUGUUGGAGGGGUACAUGGAAUUGAUGGUGUAGCGGUGAAAUGCAUAGAUACCAUCAGGAACACCGAUAGCGAAGGCAUUGUACUGGCCAACAACUGACGCUGAUGCACGAAAGUGUGGGGAUCGAACAGGAUUAGAUACCCUAGUAGUCC
rnacentral:rRNA from 1 species